rnacentral:rRNA from 1 species
GACGAACGCUGGCGGCGUGCUUAACACAUGCAAGUCACGGGGGCCCAGCAAUGGGUAACCGGCGAACGGGUGCGUAACACGUGAGCAACCUGCCGAUCUGAGGGGGAUAGCCGGCCCAACGGCCGGGUAAUACCGCAUACGGUUCUUGAGGGACAUCCCUUGGGAACGAAACCUCCGGGGCAGAUCGAGGGGCUCGCGGCCUAUCAGCUAGUUGGCGGGGUAACGGCCCACCAAGGCGACGACGGGUAGCUGGCUGAGAGGAUGGCCAGCCACAUUGGGACUGAGAGACGGCCCAGACUCUACGGGAGGCAGCAGUGGGGAAUCUUGCGCAAUGGCCGAAAGGCUGACGCAGCGACGCCGCGUGUGGGAUGAAGCAUUUCGGUGUGUAAACCACUGUUGCCCGGGACGAACACCUUCUUUCGAGAAGGCUGACGGUACCGGGUGAGGAAGCACCGGCUAACUCCGUGCCAGCAGCCGCGGU